GCUUACAGGGGUCACAGACAUUCAGAUCAUGGCAGAACUGUCACAGAUGUUACUUUGUGAAAACACAAAGAAUAAUGUGUUUGGAGAGAUCAGUCUUCAAUUAGCUAUAUUUUCUAGGAGCCUACCUUUACUUAGCCUCACAACAUGGGCCUUAGCUUUAGCACUUAAUCUGCACAAAUACCUGGCUUAAGUGUUAUGACUGACUGGCUAUUCAACCAAACCAUACAAAUGACCAAUUCGGUAAGAAAGCAUGAACUUCAGUGUUGAACCAAAUCAACCAACCUCCUCAAUCCAAAUGGAGAGGAUAACAAAGGAAGCUGAGGAAGUCUGUUCUGGAGGCACCAUGACAAAGCACCAGACAGAAAGCAGUCACGUGUGGGGAGAUGAGCAGAGACACCACUUCUCAAGCACCUGAUUAUUCUUUCUCAGUAUUUAGAAGCAAAAAUUAUCCUUAAGAAAAACAACCGCAAACGCAACACAGGCUACACAGAUGAGAAAAUGGGGCUUGCAGAGCUCAAACCAUUACACCAUUCAGAAGCUGGCUUUGGUAUUACUUCAAGUUAUUCAAAACAGUCACCACUUGCUGAGCCUCUGAUGUCUCAUCUGUUGAAUGGGUACAUUUUCUUCCUGAUCCUUCCACCUCUAAACUUGUCUAUUUCCAAGGAUCUAUGGCAUCCAGGCAUAUGAUUUCAAGAGAGAAGGCUGAAAAGGAAGGUGACUGGAAUAUUAAGAACUGUGAGAUAUUCUGAGGAAACUCUAAUUUGUAAAUUGGUAGAAAUGCCAGUAAUUUGUUGGGAAUUGAAGACCCUCUGUAUUCAAGAGCGAAGCUUGGCAGCUGUGCACUGUUGUUUUAUAAAUCAAUAUUACAUCUGAA
rnacentral:lncRNA from 1 species